GCUCAGUAACACGUGGAUAACCUACCCUGUGGARGGGGAUAACCCCGGAAAACUGGGGAUAAUACCCCAUAGAUUAGGGAUGCUGGAAUGCCCCCUAGUUCAAAGGUCCGCCGCCACAGGAUGGGUCUGCGGCCGAUUAGGUUGUUGUUGGGGUAACGGCCCAACAAGCCUUUGAUCGGUACGGGUUGUGGGAGCAAGAGCCCGGAGAUGGAUUCUGAGACACGAAUCCAGGCCCUACGGGGCGCAGCAGGCGCGAAAACUUUACAAUGCGAGAAAUCGUGAUAAGGGAACCCCGAGUGCCCGUAAAUUCGGGCUGUCCGCCAGUGUAAAUAACUGGUGAAGAAAGGGCCGGGCAAGACCGGUGCCAGCCGCCGCGGUAAUACCGGCGGCUCGAGUGGUGGCCGCUAUUACUGGGCUUAAAGCGUCCGUAGCUGGGUUGUUAAGUCUCCUGGGAAAUCCAUCGGCUCAACCGAUGGGCGUUCAGGAGAUACUGGCGACCUAGGGACCGGGAGAGGUGAGAGGUACUCCAGGGGUAGGAGUGAAAUCCUGUAAUCCUUGGGGGACCACCUGUGGCGAAGGCGUCUCACCAGAACGGCUCCGACAGUGAGGGACGAAAGCUGGGGGAGCAAACCGGAUUAGAUACCCGGGUAGUCCCAGCUGUAAACGAUGCGCGUUAGGUGUAUCGGUGACCACGAGUCACCGAGGUGCCGAAGAGAAAUCGUGAAACGUGCCGCCUGGGAAGUACGGUCGCAAGGCUGAAACUUAAAAGGAAUUGGCGGGGAGCACCACAACGGGUGGAGCCUGCGGUUUAAUUGRAUUCAACGCCGGGAAGCUUACCGGGAUCGACAAGCAAUAUGAAGGCCAGGCUGAAGACUUUGCUGGAUUAGCUGAAAGGUGUGCAUUGACCGUCGUCAGUUCGUUAUGUGAAGCAUCCUGUUAAGUUAGGCAACAAGCAAGACCC
rnacentral:rRNA from 1 species